rnacentral:rRNA from 1 species
GACGAACGCUGGCGGCGUGCUUAACACAUGCAAGUCGAACGGUAAGGCCCUUCGGGGUACACGAGUGGCGAACGGGUGAGUAACACGUGGGUGAUCUGCCCUGCACUUCGGGAUAAGCCUGGGAAACUGGGUCUAAUACCGGAUAGGACCCUGGGAUGCAUGUCCUGGGGUGGAAAGCUUUUGCGGUGUGGGAUGGGCCCGCGGCCUAUCAGCUUGUUGGUGGGGUGAUGGCCUACCAAGGCGACGACGGGUAGCCGGCCUGAGGGGGUGACCGGCCACACUGGGACUGAGAUACGGCCCAGACUCCUACGGGAGGCAGCAGUGGGGAAUAUUGCACAAUGGGCGCAAGCCUGAUGCAGCGACGCCGCGUGAGGGAUGACGGCCUUCGGGUUGUAAACCUCUUUCAGCACCGACGAAGCGCAAGUGACGGUAGGUGCAGAUGAAGGACCGGCCAACUACGUGCCAGCAGCCGCUGUAA